rnacentral:tRNA from 1 species
GUCCCUAUAGCGCAAUGGAUAGCGCGUUGGACUUCUAAUCCAAAGGUCGUGGGUUCAAAUCUCACCUGGGAUG